UCCGAUAUGGUGUAGUGGCUAACAUUAUCGCCUCUCAUGUAUUGGAACGCGAUAGCCCGGGGUUCGAUUCCCCGUGUCGGAA
rnacentral:tRNA from 1 species